AGAUAUGUACCUGAUAUUGGAAGCAAAAGAAAACGAUGAUGAGAAUCAGCAGCAAUAACAACAGUACAAUAGCAACAACUGCCCAGCAACAGUAACAACCCAGUAACAGACCCGUGGAGUAGUAAUCCCAAAAACAAAAGCUUUAAGCUUUAAAUGAAACAACAACCAUUAAUACUAAUUUCAAACAAAGAAAGAAAGCAGUAGAUUUUUUUUAGUUUUAUUUUUAUUUUGAAAGCUUAAAUAUUUUUCGGAAUUUUUCUCUCUUCUAUUCUCUGUCCGUUUUUUCUCUCUAUCUGUGUGUGUAUUUUU
rnacentral:lncRNA from 1 species